AACGAACGUUAGCGGCGCGCUUAACACAUGCAAGUCGUGCGAGAAAGGGGCAACCCCGGUAAAGCGGCGCACGGGUGAGUAACACGUAGGUAAUCUGCCCCCGAGUGGUGGAUAACCUUCCGAAAGGAGGGCUAAUACAGCAUGAGACCACGGGCUCGCAAGAGCUUGAGGUCAAAGUCGGCCUCUCUACAGAAGCUGGCGCUUGGGGAUGAGCCUGCGGCCCAUCAGCUAGUUGGUAGGGUAAUGGCCUACCAAGGCGAAGACGGGUAGCUGGUCUGAGAGGAUGAUCAGCCACACUGGAACUGAGACACGGUCCAGACUCCUACGGGAGGCAGCAGUGGGGAAUCUUGCGCAAUGGGCGAAAGCCUGACGCAGCGACGCCGCGUGAGUGAUGAAGGCCUUCGGGUUGUAAAGCUCUGUGGAGAGGGACGAAUAAGUCGGAGCGAACAGCUCCGAUGAUGACGGUACCUCUUUAGCAAGCACCGGCUAACUCUGUGCCAGCAGCCGCCGUAAAAC
rnacentral:rRNA from 1 species